rnacentral:rRNA from 1 species
UACGGAGGGUGCAAGCGUUAUCCGGAUUCACUGGGUUUAAAGGGUGCGUAGGUGGGUAGGUAAGUCAGCGGUGAAAUCCCUCGGCUUAACCGAGGAACUGCCCUCCAAACUGCUUCGCUUGAGACCGGGAGAGGUGAGUGGAAUUCCCAGUGUAGCGGUGAAAUGCGUAGAUAUUGGGAGGAACACCAGUGGCGAAGGCGGCUCACUGGACCGGUUCUGACGCUGAUGCGCGAAAGCGUGGGGAGCAAACGGG